GUGGUAAGUGCCAUAAACAGAAGAGGUGGUUUUUUCACACUCUUGGUGAGAACAUUUUAAUAAAUAAUUUUUUUUAAAAUUUAUUUAUUGCACUUUGCUGUGCCAUUUUUUUUUUCUUUUUGUUAAAUUAGAAAUUAAUAAUCAUCAAGUACAUGAUUCUUUUUGUGGUUGAGCAUUCUUUUUGAGCUUUUUGCCUGCUGGACGUGCACACUUUUUGUCUAAUAUCUAAUUUCACUGCACAGUUUUAUUUUCAUUAAAAUGUAAAAUGUAAUUUUAUUUUACUCCAUAGCUUCAUUUUUAUUUGUCAGUGCACACACACACGUAUCAUUCGUUACUAGACUCUCAGGUCGCUUCCGUGUUUCAUCACUGACCGCAGUCAUGAUGAUAUAAUGAGUGUUAUUCAAUGGGACACACAACACUGAACACACAACACCGCUGCUGAUCCUGUUCCACAGAAACAAACCAUAACAACAGCAAAAACACCAGCUGCAGAUUAAUGUGCAUAAAAAAGAAAACAAGCAAACAAAACAAGACAAUAGAAGCAGUAAACAUUCCCAUGCUAAAUUAUUCAGCCGUGAACGACCUGCCUCACAUUUCCUCUAUUUAACUUCCCUUUGACAACAGCUGACCUAUGACCUCCAGAGAAACAUUAGCUCUGUCAGAUAUCUUUACCAAGAAGAUGCUACAACAAUUUUACAGUUUUUCUUUUCAAUUCUGACAGUCAUAUGUUCUCCAGAAGCAGAUGUGAACUCAAGCAGCCACUGAUCCUCACAGCGGAGGGAGGGAGGGAGGGGUCAGGACAGACACGGGACGUCCCGAGUGACAGGAGGGAGGAGGAGGAGACUCCACGGGGGGAGGAGAGCAUGACAGGUCACACACACACACACACACACACACAAAGAACAUACUAAAACACAUCAUCUUAUACAGAAAACAUUCCUCAGACAGGAUAGAGAUGCACUUAAAGAGAAAAGCCGCCCAGCAAUCAAACUCUGAAUGCAAAUGAACAGGCAGUAUUUCACCAGUGACUGUCUGUAUCACUGAUGAAAAGGUCACCGCUUUCCAGGCCGUUUGAUUUGAGAUGAAUUUUACAGCAGUGCAACCUGGAGAUGACAAGCUGAUUUCUCCUGAACGCCUCUGAUAACACGAGUCAGGCGUCUGCCUUAUUCAUUACCACCUAAACAAGCAUUUAUAACAACAGGGGAAACUAUUUUUACCAACAGUUCUAAUAUGCAUUACCAGUCAAAAGUUUGUAAUAAAUGUUUUUGAAAGAAGUCUCUUAUAUAGUCA
ensembl:lncRNA